rnacentral:rRNA from 1 species
AGCGAACGCUGGCGGCAGGCUUAACACAUGCAAGUCGAGCGGGCACUUUCGGGUGUCAGCGGCGGACGGGUGCGUAACGCGUGGGAACGUGCCCUCUGGUUCGGAAUAACUCAGGGAAACUUGAGCUAAUACCGGAUACGCCCUUUUGGGGAAAGGCUUGCUGCCGGAGGAUCGGCCCGCGUCUGAUUAGCUAGUUGGUGAGGUAACGGCUCACCAAGGCGACGAUCAGUAGCUGGUCUGAGGGGAUGAUCAGCCACACUGGGACUGAGACCCGGCCCAGACUCCUACGGGAGGCAGCAGUGGGGAAUAUUGGACAAUGGGCGCAGGCCUGAUCCAGCCAUGCCGCGUGAGUGAUGAAGGCCUUAGGGUUGUAAAGCUCUUUUAUCCGGGACGAUAAUGACGGUACCGGAGGAAUAAGCCCCGGCUAACUUCGUG